GGUAGCGUGGCUGAGCGGUCUAAGGCACUGGAUUAAGGCUCCAAUCUCUUUGGCGGCAUGGCUUCGAAUCCCACCACUGCCA
rnacentral:tRNA from 1 species